GUGAACAAUAGAGACAUUUCCAUUGCUGUCUUCAGGGAAUUUAUUUUUUUCGAAGCGCAAGCAAGAGCGAGCAUGAGGGUAAGCCAUAUAAAAGAACAAGACCAGCUUCCAAAGGGAACGACAAGGAUUCUUUCUGAUGCUUCCAAGGUAGAAACUCCUAGUGAGAAGGAGAUGAAUAAUGGUGAAGACAAAGUAGCAUAUGUAUAAAUAGUUACAAAGAGUUGCUUGAUCUUGAAGUUGAAAGAAAGAGAAGUCAUCAUCAUUGCAAGGAUGAAAGUCUCAUGUAUUCUAAUUCGUUGCAACUGGUUAUAGGCUUAUUAUUAGCUUUGGUCUUACGGCCCUAAAAACAGUGGCAAGAGCACAUUUUCGUGCAAUCUUGUUGAAGUUCUUCUCCAAAGGUUAUUUAUUUGCUUAUCUGAGAGUAUCAGUCUGCAAAAAUGAAAUCAGCAUUGUGGAUAAAAUUCUCUUUAUUUUGUGUCUUAUGAAAUUCAGUUUGUUUCUCUGUUUAAAUGGAUCCAAAUUGCUUUGUUUUGAUACAUUUUUGCUGAAAAAUUAACCUUUGUGGUUUACAAAUACAAAAAGUGUUUGCUUAUUUGGACCUUAAACUAAGAAGGAUAAGUCUAACGGAUUGAGCUGGUCUGCUUUAUAUUCAAUAAUUGAAGCUAUAUAUAUACACACAGUCAUGAACGAAGGACCAAGGAGGUGAUAUGGACACAAGUUUUAAUUCAAGUGGUAUAAGAGCUAAAGAAUGGAAAUAGCAACGAAUGAGAGAGAAGAGGCUUUACAUGCUAGUAGUCUUCAAGAUCAACGCCCACUCAAGAGAAGAGACUUUCCUUUAGUUAUUGUAUUUGUAGAAUGUGUGUAAAAUAGUGAAAACCUGAAAAAGUAAUGAAACACAAAAGUGGUUUGCAAAUGAGUUAAAGAUGAUAAUUUGUUGUUUAUUA